ensembl:piRNA 21ur-12874 ncRNA
UUGCAUUUGCUACCAGAUCUC